UCGAACGAGACCUUCGGGUCUAGUGGCGCACGGGUGCGUAACGCGUGGGAAUCUGCCCUUGGGUUCGGAACAACAGUUGGAAACGACUGCUAAUACCGGAUGAUGACUUGGGUCCAAAGAUUUAUCGCCCACGGAUGAGCCCGCGUAGGAUUAGCUUGUUGGUGAGGUAAAAGCUCACCAAGGCGACGAUCCUUAGCUGGUCUGAGAGGAUGAUCAGCCACACUGGGACUGAGACACGGGCCAGACUCCUACGGGAGGCAGCAGUGGGGAAUAUUGGACAAUGGGCGAAAGCCUGAUCCAGCAAUGCCGCGUGAGUGAUGAAGGCCUUAGGGUUGUAAAGCUCUUUUACCCGGGAUGAUAAUGACAGUACCGGGAGAAUAAGCCCCGGCUAACUCCGUGCCAGCAGCCGCGGUAAUACGGAGGGGGCUAGCGUUGUUCGGAAUUACUGGGCGUAAAGCGCACGUAGGCGGCUUUGUAAGUUAGAGGUGAAAGCCCGGAGCUCAACUCCGGAAUUGCCUUUAAGACUGCAUCGCUUGAAUCAUGGAGAGGUGAGUGGAAUUCCGAGUGUAGAGGUGAAAUUCGUAGAUAUUCGGAAGAACACCAAUUGGCGAA
rnacentral:rRNA from 1 species